rnacentral:tRNA from 1 species
GUCCCGGUAGCUCAGUUGGAUAGAGCAGCCGCCUUCUAAGCGGCAGGUCGUGCGUUCGAAUCGCACCCGGGACG